rnacentral:lncRNA from 1 species
UUUCAUUACUGAUGAUGCAUCAUGUUGAAUUAAAUCAGCCGAAAACCUUUAAAACAUUUUCUAAUGUCAUUUGUCUAGCUCACGAUUGUAGAAAAAUAGUGAGAGUAAUAAUAUUAGUAGUAUUAAUAUCAAUACAUCAAAUUGAGGGAAUUGGUUCAUGAAACCAUCAAUCACGAUAGCGAAUUUUUUAUAUACAUAAACACUCCUAUAAUUAACUGUGAUUUUAUGAGAGUUUUCAAUGCGAUGUUGGACAUAAAGGUUCAGUUUGACGCAAAAUUAUGCCAAGAAUAUUAUGAUAAUGAAGUGGAACAUUGAAUUAUUAAACGUUAGAGAUUUACUACGAAGAUAAUUAAAUGAUCUAAUGUACCAUACAAGUAUAAUUGUUAUUAUUUAUUUAAUUCAUGACAUUUUCAGGUACUUAAAUUUGGCUACUGCAACCGUUCUCUACGAUGAUGGAUGACAGUUUGAACAUAUGGGGUCAAUCAGCUAUUUUCUGUAUAUUUUAUUUUAUUAUCAUAUAUUUCAUCUGAACCUCCGUCAGACGGGACUUUUUUUGGUACAUUGAUGUCCGACAUAAAAACUCUUUUGGAAUCAAAGUUAACACUAGGAGUGUUUUUGUAUU